rnacentral:rRNA from 1 species
ACGCUCGACACCUACGGGAGGCAGCAGUGGGGAAUAUUGCACAAUGGGGGAAACCCUGAUGCAGCGACGCCGCGUGAAGGAAGAAGUAUCUCGGUAUGUAAACUUCUAUCAGCAGGGAAGAAAAUGACGGUACCUGACUAAGAAGCCCCGGCUAACUACGUGCCAGAAGCCGCGGUAAUCUGAGCGGGCUGGCAAGGC